rnacentral:misc_RNA from 1 species
GUAGAUGGCGUUAAAAAUUUAGUUUCUGUUAUCUAUUUCUCUCUUAUCACAUUUGUAAACAUUUGUUUUUUGGUUCUGUUAUUUGUUAUCUGAUUAAUUUUUUCCCAUUUACUGUAAAUUUUUAGUGUAUACUUUCUUCUUUAUAAUGAUUCAUGGCCGGCGUUUUAGUACUCGAAUUCGCAUUUCGUUCAGGACUUUAGUUAAGUAUUUUGUUUGUAAGAAAAUCCGUAAUUUCGUCUAAUAAAUUUCAAAUGGAUUCAAUCAGACGAAUUAGCAAAGUUGAAAGACGAGUGAGUUUGUUGGAGGGUCCAAUUAGGAUAUUUAAGGGAAGUACUACACCUGCUGUCAUUCAGUAUCGAAGCAGACUUGCAAGUAUUUCAGAAAUUGAUGCCGAACAAGUAAAAAUUGCUAAUUAUGCAGAUACUGUAAAGCAGCUUGAUGCAUAUUAUGGCCAAGUUAAAAGACAGAUACUUAAUCACCAAAGUUCCACCACUGGCUUAUUUCCUCAGUUGUCUCAAGAAAGGGAAGUAGCUUGUGUUCGUGAUAGUAUAUAUUGUGCAGUUGCCAUAUGGAGUUUAUAUCAAGCAUACAAGAGAAUAGAUGAUGAUAGGGGUAAAGCUUAUGAACUUGGUCAGAGUGCUGUAAAAUGCAUGAGAGGAAUCCUUUUCUGCUGGAUGAGACAAGCAGAAGAAAAACUAGAGAAAUACAAAAUGAAUCAAUGUCCAGAAUAUGCUUUGCAUAGUAAAUUCCAUUUGGAAACUGGUCAACCAUUAGCACCAGAUGUACUUGGUAACUAUGGCCAUUUGCAGCUGGAUGUUGUUUCUCUGUACUUAUUAUUUUUAGUGCAGAUGAUUAUGUCAGGUCUUCAGAUUAUUUACACCAUGGAUGAGGUCAGUUUCGUGCAAAAUCUUGUCUAUUAUGUUGAAAGAGCAUAUCGUACACCAGAUUUCGGUAUGUGGGAACGAGGAAGUAAAUAUAAUGAUGGUACUCCAGAAAUACAUGCAAGUUCUAUUGGAAUGGCAAAAUCUGCUCUUGAAGCUAUAAAUGGGUGUAAUCUUUUUGGUGACAAGGGAGCUUCAUGGUCUGUAGUUUAUGUUGACAUUGAUGCUCACAGUAGAAACAGAAGCAUUUUUGAAACUCUUCUGCCACGAGAAUCCAGUUCUAAGAACACUGAUUCAUCUUUGCUUCCCACUAUUAGUUUUCCUUGUUUUGCUACUCAUGAUGAGCUUCUAUAUAACAGAACUAAAGAUAAAAUUGUCCGUAAGCUUCAAGGCACAUAUGGCUUCAAGAGGUUUCUUAGAGAUGGUUAUGGUACAGCAGUUGAAGAUAUCACUCAACAGUAUUAUGAACAAGGAGAGACUAAAGAAUUUGAAAACAUUGAAUGUGAAUGGCCAUUGUUUUUCUUAUACAUGAUCUUGGAUGGAAUAUUCAAAGGAAAUGAUGAGCAAAUAAAAAAGUAUCGUCAUUUAUUGCAUCCUAGAUUAAAAGUUGACAGAUAUGGAAAUGCUGUUGUUCCAAAAUACUUUUAUGUACCAACAUUAUGCAUCGAUGCUGAGAGGAGAGAUCCAGGCUCACAAAAAAGGAUUGCAAGUGCAGAAGGAGAUGCUGAUAAUUUAUAUUUACAUGGGCAAGCUCUAUACAUAAUGUGCGAAUUAUUAGUGGAUGGACUUCUCCACAUUAAUGAACUUGACCCAAUUAGGCGUUACUUGCCAUCGUACAACAGACCACGGAAAACUGGACGUUAUUCUGCAUUCCAGGGCACUGCUAGUGAUCUAGUUGUACAAGUUGUUCUUAUUGCUGAAAGUAUGAGAUUACAAGCUAUGAUGGCUACUUAUGGGAUCCAUACACAAACACCUCAUGAAGUAGAACCUGUUCAAAUAUGGUCUCCAAGCCAGCUUGUUAAGAUAUAUGAAUAUCUUGGAGUUAGUAAGAAACUAGGCCUCAAAGGGAGACCACCCAGACCUAUUGGUGCAUUAGGUACUAGCAAGCUUUACCGAAUAUGCGGUCAAACAGUAAUAUGCUAUCCUCUGAUCUUUGAAGUUAGUGAUUUUUAUCUUUCUCAUGAUAUGGCUCUUCUUAUUGAUGAUAUUAAGAAUGAACUUCAUUUUGUGGGAAAGUAUUGGCGAAUGUCUGGAAGGCCUACAGUCUGUAUUCUGAUUAGAGAAGAACAUAUGAGGGACGUUCAUUUUAAAGAAAUGCUGGAUUUGUUAGCAAUGCUUAAAAAAGGUGACUGUGAUGGUCUAAAAAUCAGAACUGGGAGGCUUCAGAAUUUGAUAUCUUCUUCAUGCAUUGAACAUUUAGAUUUUUUACAUUUAUUAACUGCUGAUGACUUACCGAAUGUUGAGGCAUUUCAGCAGCUAGAACAUGCAUCAAUAGGAUACCAAAGUCUGACAGAUAUCCCAAAAGCUAUUGUAUAUAAUGAGCCUACCUAUGAUUUUUCUGAAUUUAAUCAUCGUUCAUCAAGAGAUAUCCUUGAGGCACUAAGUCAUACUGACACGCUUCAUGGUCAGAGUCAACUAUUAGGAAUAUUAUACUUUCGUGAAGGACCACAGUUUUGGACGGAAAAUGGUACAGUGAAAGAAAGAUUGGAGAAAUUAACUAGACAAGCCGGAGCUUUGCGCCACUGGUCUGUUGUUAGAUAUUGCUCCAGUGUGUUGAGAAAAUUAGUAGACAGUAUUAGUCCAAAUAUAACUUCAAUUUUAGUAUGUGGGAAACAGAUAACUGUUGGUGUUUUUGGACAUGAAGAAGUUGUAAUUGAUAAACCCUUAACACCUAAGGAAGUUGAGGUAAUAAUAUAUUCAAAAUGCCAGCACCAUGAUAUAUAUCAAGCAGUAUUACAGCAAGAAAUUAUACUUUAUGUUGGUCGCCUCAUUUCAACUACUCCUCAACUUUUCCAUGGAAUAUUGAAAAUUAGAAUUGGUUGGGUUUUACAAGCCAUGAUACUGCACAUGAAAUUCUUGAAUCCUUCUCCACCUCCUUUAGGAAAGUUUAUCACCUAGUGAACUCCGAAAAGUUUUGUAUCGUGUUUUGACAUUAGCAGAAAAUGGAUCUAAUACUAAGCUGUCUAUUCAUCAAAGACGACAGAUUGAAGGUGCCUUAUGCAGAGUUCCAAAGAAUUUUUAUGAUCGUGUUUGGGAUAUUAUGACAAGAACCACUGAAGGUAUAAUUGUGGAAGGUUACCAUUUACCACAA